rnacentral:rRNA from 1 species
GAUGAACGCUGGCGGCGUGCCUAAUACAUGCAAGUCGAGCGAACAGAUGAGGAGCUUGCUCCUCUGACGUUAGCGGCGGACGGGUGAGUAACACGUGGAUAACCUACCUAUAAGACUGGGAUAACUUCGGGAAACCGGAGCUAAUACCGGAUAAUAUAUUGAACCGCAUGGUUCAAUAGUGAAAGACGGUUUUGCUGUCACUUAUAGAUGGAUCCGCGCCGCAUUAGCUAGUUGGUAAGGUAACGGCUUACCAAGGCAACGAUGCGUAGCCGACCUGAGAGGGUGAUCGGCCACACUGGAACUGGGACACGGUCCAGACUCCUACGGGAGGCAGCAGUAGGGAAUCUUCCGCAAUGGGCGAAAGCCUGACGGAGCAACGCCGCGUGAGUGAUGAAGGUCUUCGGAUCGUAAAACUCUUUUAUUAGGGAAGAACAAAUGUGUAAGUAACUAUGCACGUCUUGACGGUACCUAAUCAGAAAGCCACGGCUAACUACGUG